CUCCACCACCACCAUCACCACCGCCGCCGCCUCCUCCACCUCCCUCUCCUUCACCAAGUGAAUGUGGGGACUUUUCUUAUUGUCCAAGUGAUGAGACAUGCUGUUGCAUUUUUGAAUUCUGUGAUUUCUGCCUGGUCUAUGGUUGCUGUCCUUACGAGAAUGCUGUUUGCUGCACUGGCACCGAAUAUUGUUGCCCCAGUGAUUACCCCAUUUGUGAUGUUGAUGAAGGGCUCUGCCUCCAGAGCCAAGGAGAUUACCUGGGAGUGGCUGCAAAGAAGCGACAUAUGGCUAAGCACAAGUUCCCCUGGAGCAAGCUAGAUGAAAGAAAACAAGAGAGAACAUAUCAACCUCUCCAGUGGAAGAGGAACCCUUUCGCUGCGAUUCGCUAAAGAAAUUGUGAUCCCUUAAGAAUUUGAAGGUCGUGUGAUUGCAAGUCUUUGUUAUUUUAUUUGUCGCCCAGGCAGGCAUUCAGUCAUCCUGAUUCCUGCUACAAACAUGUGGUUGAUUGGCAUUUAAAAUGUCUGUAGCAGGCAAACGCAGGAAAAGAAGAGACUAAUAAAAGGGGAAAUUUGGGUAGGUGUUGAAUUUGGAUGGUCUUCUGGAGACAAAUAUUUUAUUUUAUUUUAUUUUAUUUUAUU
rnacentral:misc_RNA from 1 species